GAGCACGUAGGUGGGUUUGUAAGUCAGAUGUGAAAGCCUUCUGUUCAAAGGAAGAACGGCAUCUGAAACUGCAAAUCUCGAGUGUAGGAGGGGAGAGUGGAACUUCUGGUGGAGCGGUGAAAUGCGUAGAUAUCAGAAGGAACGUCGGCGGCGAAAGCGACUCUCUGGCCUAUUACUGACACUGAGUGUGCGAAAGUUAGGGGAGCAAACGGGAUUAGAUACCCCGGUAGUCCUAACCGUAAACGAUGGGCACUAAGUAGAGGGAAUUACCAAUGUUCUCUCUGCCGUAGCUAACGCAUUAAGUGCCCCGCCUGGGGAGUACGGCCGCAAGGCUAAAACUCAAAAGAAUUGACGGGGGCUCGCACAAGCGGUGGAGCAUGUGGCUUAAUUCGAUGCAACGCGAAAAACCUUACCGGGGUUUGACAUGAUAGAAGUAGGAGCCCGAAAGGGUAACCAACGGUAUCCAAUCCGUAACUAUUACAGGUGUUGCAUGGCUGUCGUCAGCUCGUGUCGUGAGACGUUGGGUUAAGUCCCCUAACGAGCGAAACCCUUGUUUUUAGUUACCAUCGGGUUGUGCCGGGUACUCUAAAAAGACUGCCGUCGUCAAGACGGAGGAAGGUGGGGAUGACGUCAAGUCAUCAUGGCCCUUAUACCCCGGGCUGCACACGUGCUACAAUGGUCGGUACAAAAGGAAGCAAGACCGAGAGGUGAAGCGAAUCC
rnacentral:rRNA from 1 species